rnacentral:rRNA from 1 species
GACAGAGGAUGCAAGCGUUAUCCGGAAUGAUUGGGCGUAAAGCGUCUGUAGGUGGCUUUUUAAGUCCGCCGUCAAAUCCCAGGGCUCAACCCUGGACAGGCGGUGGAAACUACCAAGCUGGAGUACGGUAGGGGCAGGAGGGAAUUUCCGAGUGGAGCGGUGAAAUGCGUAGAGAUUGGAAAGAACACCAAUGGCGAAAGCACUUUACUGGGCUAUUACUGACACUGAGAGACGAAAGCUAGGGGAGCAAAUGGG